rnacentral:rRNA from 1 species
CCUGAGUACGACGGAGCACGUGAAAUUCCGUCGGAAUCUGGGAGGACCAUCUCCUAAGGCUAAAUACUCUCUAGUGACCGAUAGUGAACCAGUACCGUGAGGGAAAGGUGAAAAGUACCCCGGAAGGGGAGUGAAAGAGAACUUGAAACCGUGUGCUUACAAGUAGUCAGAGCCCGUUAAUGGGUGAUGGCGUGCCUUUUGUAGAAUGAACCGGCGAGUUACGAUCUGAUGCAAGGUUAAGCAGAAAAUGUGGAGCCGUAGCGAAAGCGAGUCUGAAUAGGGCGAAUGAGUAUUUGGUCGUAGACCCGAAACCAGGUGAUCUACCCUUGGUCAGGUUGAAGUUCAGGUAACACUGAAUGGAGGACCGAACCGACUUACGUUGAAAAGUGAGCGGAUGAACUGAGGGUAGCGGAGAAAUUCCAAUCGAACUUGGAGAUAGCUGGUUCUCUCCGAAAUAGCUUUAGGGCUAGCCUCAAGUGAUGAUUAUUGGAGGUAGAGCACUGUUUGGACGAGGGGCCCCUCUCGGGUUACCGAAUUCAGACAAACUCCGAAUGCCAAAUAAUUUAACUUGGGAGUCAGAAUGUGGGUGAUAAGGUCCAUAUUCGAAAGGGAAACAGCCCAGACCACCAGCUAAGGUCCCAAAAUAUAUGUUAAGUGGAAAAGGAUGUGGCGUUGCCCAGACAACUAGGAUGUUGGCUUAGAAGCAGCCAUCAUUUAAAGAGUGCGUAAUAGCUCACUAGUCGAGUGACACUGCGCCGAAAAUGUACCGGGGCUAAACAUAUUACCGAAGCUGUGGAUUGUCCUUUGGACAAUGGUAGGAGAGCGUUCUAAGGGCGUUGAAGCAUGAUCGCAAGGACAUGUGGAGCGCUUAGAAGUGAGAAUGCCGGUGUGAGUAGCGAAAGACGGGUGAGAAUCCCGUCCACCGAUUGACUAAGGUUUCCAGAGGAAGGCUCGUCCGCUCUGGGUUAGUCGGGUCCUAAGCUGAGGCCGACAGGCGUAGGCGAUGGAUAACAGGUUGAUAUUCCUGUACCACCAUUAUUCGUUUUAAGCGAUGGGGGGACGCAGUAGGAUAGGCGAAGCGUGCUGUUGGAGUGCACGUCCAAGCAGUGAGAUUGAGUGUUAGGCAAAUCCGGCACUCUUAAGAUUGAGCUGUGAUGGGGAGAGGAACU